AACUCGGGUGCGGCCGGGGAGAGGGGGCGGGCGCGCGGGGACCGGUUGGCGCUAGACCCGGCGCGAGGGCGGCGGUGGGGGAGGGGUGGCGGCUCCACGCGCCCGCGCUGCGUCAGUUGCCCGCGGCGGCGGCAGCAGCGGCGAAGGAGAAGGAGGUAGCCCCGCGAUCGCUAAGGAAUGCGGCGGCUCCGCAUAACCACGGGGUCAGAGGUCACGGCUCCGGCCUCCGCUUUCCCGCUCUGCUGCGAGGCCAAGACCGGACUGGCGGCGGGGCGGGAAGGGGAGACGCGGCUUUCCCUUCGGCGCCCGGGUGUGUGCGUGUCUGCCGUGGGUGUGUGUGAGUGUGUGUGAAGAGUGAGGAGGGGGAGUGUGGGGUUUUUUUUUUUUGAACAAAAACAAACCGAAAGGGCGGCUGGGAGUCGUAGUCCCGGCUGCCUCUCUGGCCUCCCCCGCUCCGGAAGAAUAUGGCUGAGUGAAACUCUUGGACCACACUUCCCAGCGUGCCCCGCGGCCCGUCUUUUCCGCCCUCCCUUCCUCUGCCCAGCGCAGAGCUCGAUCACAGGCUCUGGGGGAGGCCAGGCACCCUGUCGUGAGGACACUCAAGAAGCCAUAUGGAGAGGUGACGUCUACCCAGCCAGUAGCCCCAGACAAGCUUUCAAAUGACUUCAGCCCUGGCUAACAUCUUGAGAGAUCAACCUCAUAAGAGAUCCAGAGCCAGAAUCACCCAUAUAUGCCGCUCCUGGGAACUGAAGGGACACAAUCCAAGGCUCAGAAAGGUUAAGCAACUUGCA